ensembl:lncRNA
GGACACGGCACGGACACGGACACGGAAUGGACACGGAAUGGACACGGACAUGGACACGGAAUGGACACGGACACGGAAUGGACACGGACAUGGACACGGACAUGGACACGGACAUGGACACGGACACGGAAUGGAUACGGACACGGAAUGGACACGGACACGGAAUGGACACGGACACGGAAUGGACACGGAAUGGACACAGACACGGACACGGAAUGGACACAGAAUGGACACAGACACGGAAUGGACACGGAAUGGACACGGACACGGACACAGACAUGGAAUGGACACGUCAUUCCCUGGAUAGAUCCCGACCCCCCGGCACACACAGCAUGGGAUGGGCAGGGUCCCCCACAGCCCUGGGGUGCAAACUGGGAAAUGCCCAAUUCCCAAAUCCAGAACCGUUGUUCCCAUUGUUACUCCCGUGUUAUUCCCGUUAUUCCUGUGUUAUUCCCGUGUUAUUCCCGUGGCUGUUCCCGUUGUUAUUCCCAUUGUUAUUCCCAUUGUUAUUCCCAUUGUUAUUCCCGUUAUUUCCAUUGUUAUUCCCGUUAUUCCCGUGUUAUUCCCGUGUUAUUCCCGUGGCUGUUCCCGCUGUUAUUCCUGUUGUUAUUCCCAUUGUUAUUCCUGUUGUUGUUCCCGUUGUUAUUCCCAUUGUUAUUCCCGUUAUUCCCGUUGUUGCUCCCGUGGCUGUUCCCAUUGUUAUUCCCGUGUUAUUCCCGUGUUCUUCCUGUGUUAUUCCCAUUGUUAUUCCCGCUGUUAUUCCCGCUGUUAUUCCCGUUGUUAUUCCCGUUAUUCCCGUUGUUCCCAUUGUUAUUCCCAUUGUUAUUCCCGCUGUUAUUCCCGCCGUUAUUCCCGUUGUUGUUCCCGUGGCUGUUCCCACUGUUAUUCCCAUUGUUAUUCCCGUUGUUAUUCCUGUUGUUAUUCCCGUUCUUCCCAUUGUUAUUCCCGUUGUUAUUCCCAUUGUUAUUCCCAUUGUUAUUCCCGUUAUUCCCAUGUUGUUCCCGUGGCUGUUCCCGCCGUUAUUCCCGCUAUUCCCGCCGUUAUUCCCAUUGUUAUUCCCGUGGCUGUUCCCACUGUUAUUCCCGUUGUUCCCAUUGUUAUUCCCAUUGUUAUUCCCGUGUUAUUCCCGUGUUAUUCCCGUUGUUAUUCCCGCUAUUCCCGCCGUUAUUCCCAUUGUUAUUCCCAUUGUUAUUCCCGUUGUUGCUCCCGUGGCUGUUCCCGCUGUUAUUCCCAUUGUUAUUCCCAUUGUUAUUCCCGUUAUUCCCGUGUUAUUCCCGUGUUAUUCCCGUUGUUCCCGUUGUUAUUCCCAUUGUUAUUCCCGUUGUUCCCGCUGUUAUUCCCAUUGUUAUUCCCAUUGUUAUUCCCGUUAUUCCCGUUGUUGCUCCCGUGGCUGUUCCCGCUGUUAUUCCCGCUGUUAUUCCCGCUGUUAUUCCCGUUGUUCCCAUUGUUAUUCCCGUUGUUAUUCCCGUUAUUCCCAUGUUGUUCCCGUGGCUGUUCCCGCCGUUAUUCCCGCUAUUCCCGCCGUUAUUCCCAUUGUUAUUCCCGUGGCUGUUCCCACUGUUAUUCCCGUUGUUCCCAUUGUUAUUCCCAUUGUUAUUCCCGUGUUAUUCCCGUGUUAUUCCCGUUGUUAUUCCCGCUAUUCCCGCCGUUAUUCCCAUUGUUAUUCCCAUUGUUAUUCCCGUUGUUGCUCCCGUGGCUGUUCCCGCUGUUAUUCCCGCUGUUAUUCCCGCUGUUAUUCCCGUUGUUCCCAUUGUUAUUCCCGUUGUUAUUCCCGUUAUUCCCAUUGUUGUUCCCGUGGCUGUUCCCGCUGUUAUUCCCGUUGUUCCCAUUGUUAUUCCCGCUGUUAUUCCCGCUGUUAUUCCCAUUGUUAUUCCCGUUGUUAUUCCCAUUGUUAUUCCCGUUGUUAUUCCUGUUGUUAUUCCCGUGGCUGUUCCCACUGUUAUUCCCAUUGUUAUUCCCGUUGUUGCUCCCGUGGCUGUUCCCGCUGUUAUUCCCGUGUUAUUCCCGUGUUAUUCCCGUGUUAUUCCCGUUGUUAUUCCCAUUGUUAUUCCCAUUGUUAUUCCCGUGUUGUUCCCGUGGCUGUUCCCGCUGUUAUUCCCGUGUUAUUCCCGUGUUAUUCCCAUGUUAUUCCCGUGUUGCUCCCGUGGCUGUUCCCGCUGACCCUCUCGCCGUAGGCCGAGUGCACGUGGAAGUUUCCCAGCUCCUGGUGGUUGUCGUCCUGGUUGUACAAAUCCUUCAGCGUCUCCCGCUCCUGGUGCCGGCAGAACUGCCCGGAAACCGGGAAUGCGGGAAUUUGGGAAUGCUCAGGGGGAUUUGGGGGGGUCAGGAGGGUUCUGGGGGGUCAGAAGGGGUUUCCAGGAGGAUUUUGGGGUGCCCAGGGUGUUUUUGGGGUGCUGAGGAGGUUUUUGGGGUGCCCAGGAGGAUUUUGGGGUGCUGAGGAGGUUUUUGGGGUGCCCAGGAGGAUUUUGGGGUGCCCCACCUGGCGGUACAGGCUGAGGGCCACGGGCUGGUUCUGCAGGGUCAUGAAGAAAGUGCCGCGGUUGAGCUCGUUCUUGAGGUGCAGCACCACCGUGUAA